rnacentral:rRNA from 1 species
UACGGAAGGCAGCAGUGGGGAAUAUUGCACAAUGGGCGAAAGCCUGAUGCAGCUAUGCCGCGUGUAUGAAGAAGGCCUUAGGGUUGUAAAGUACUUUCAUCGGGGAGGAAAAACAAAACUAAUAAUUUUAUUUCUUGACGUUACCCGAAAAAGAAGCACCGGCUAACUCCGUGCCAGCAGCCGCGGUAAUACGGAGGGUGCUAGCGUUAAUCAGAAUUACUGGGCGUAAAGAGCACGUAGGUGGUUUUUUUAAGUCAGAUGUGAAAUCCCUGGGCUUAACCUGGAACUGCAUUUUGAAACUGAAAUACUAGAGUAUCGUAGAGGGAGGUAGAAUUCUAGGUGUAGCGGUGAAAUGCGUAGAUAUCUGGAGGAAUACCUGUGGCGAAAGCGGCCUCCUAAACGAAUACUGACACUGAGGUGCGAAAGCGUGGGGAGCAAACGAGGGAUUAGAUACCCGU